rnacentral:lncRNA from 1 species
CGGACGGACAAUAGCACACAAAACGCAUUUGGCCGUACGUCGUUCCCUGGCGUAAUGCGCGACUUAAAAACCAUGCCUUCUGCAGGCACCCCAUCAGGAGCUGCAUGGCUCACAGCAUGUGACAUGACAAAAGAAGAGAAAUACCCUGCUGGUGCCAGAGUCUGCUCAAAGCACUUCAAGCCUGAAGAUUAUGAUCCCAUACUGCAGUGUAAGCUGCUGAAGACAGCCAUCCCCACAUUGGUAUGGAAGCCAGCGCCACGCGUUUUCGUGCAUCGGAGACAGCAGCUACACCUACCGGUGCCAUCCUAAAACGGGUUCCGCAGGAUAAAGCUGGGCGAGGUGCCGCCGCCGCCUCCCACCGACGGUCGUCCCUCCUUAGGUGUCGCAGUACGGCACGUCACCGCCUCCGCCUGCCACCGAGGCUUCCACCCUCCUCAGCUGGAGCUUUACUAUCAUCUUUGCUCGUCUUCAUCGAGCUGUGCCAAGAACUAAGUACUUUUCGUAGCAACUUGUCAUUGGACGGGUACUGUAUCCAGGAAGCCAGCGCUUCUGCAACACCUCAGUCCACCGUGCACACGCAUGCCGAAACGACGCAUGCAGGAGCUGGACCAGUCAAAGCAGUGACGGCGUCAUCGGGCUUCUCGACUCCAAGUUCGAUAACAACGUUGGAGGCGAAUGCCAACACGGAAUUAUGGACGCCGCGACACCGAUGUGGCAGUGACGCCGAAUACAGCUCAGAGGAUGAGGGAGCGGUGAGGAGUAUCCAUCAAGGGCAGCACCUGCCGAAGAGGACUUUGACCCAGAACCAUCACCUGACUGCCAUCAUGACGAUGCCGAUAUGUUCCUCACGGUACCGAUGGACAACGACAACACCGAGAGGUAACACUAUGCCCAACACAACCAAAUGUAUUGCAACUAUACUAGUAGGCUUGUCUGUUACCGUUGACAUGUGACAAACCACGUUUAUUCUGACGAACGACAAACGAAUUGUUUACGGACGGUACGAAACGUCAUAAGAGAUGGGAUAUCACUUUCUAUCCAUGGACGAUAUGAUUUAGCAGUGUCAAUCCGUGCCAGAUGCGAUGCAAUUGAAUACACCAGCCAGACUUGCA